GAAAAGCGUAGUUUAUAUAUAAUAACAACACAAAUGACACCGGAUGCUUUACAUGAGAAGAGCACAUUACUACUGCUAUAGUCGAAACCGAUCCGUACAUCACAGUGACAUUACAAGAAAUUAAACACACAUAACACAUCUCUUAUUCUACGUAAUGACAUGAACUUAGCAAGCUAGUCAUUCAUGCAUGCAUGAUCAGAGCUAGUCAUUCAUGCAUGCAUGAUCAGUUUCAGUUGGGAAAUGGAAGUUUGUGAGGUGGCUUGACAGGGCCAGUUGGGGGCUUUAGUUUCCUCGGUGGCUUUGAUGGGUCUCUUCCACCCUCCACCACAUUCUGUUCAAGAUGGCGAUCGUGAUGAGGUGGCUUGUCUCCCUUGCCCUUAGGAGGCUGAUCAACUGGCUUGGGCUCUGGCUUGGGCUCUGGGAAUGGCUUGUGCUCAUCAAGUGGGGUUGGUGGCUUGGGUUUUGUGGGUGGCUUCGGCUUCUUUCCCUGAGGAGGCAAUUUCCCAUCCAAUGGCUCCUCUAGCAAACGAGUUCUGGUUUCUUGUUUGUGAUGAGGCGGUUUCUCACCCUUUGGAGGCUGAUCAACUGGCUUUGGUUCUGGCUUGGGCUCUGGCUUGGGCUCUGGGAAUGGCUUGUGCUCAUCAAGUGGGGUUGGUGGCUUGGGUUUUGUGGGUGGCUCCGGCUUCUUUCCCUGAGGAGGCAAUUUCCCAUCCAAUGGCUCCUCUAGCAAACGAGUUCUGGUUUCUUGUAUGUGAUGAGGCGGCUUCUCACCCUUUGGAGGCUGAUCAACUGGCUUUGGUUCUGGCUUGGGCUCGGGCUUGGGCUCUGGCUUGGGCUCUGGGAAUGGCUUGUGCUCAUCAAGUGGGGUUGGUGGCUUGGGUUUUGUGGGUGGCUUCGGCUUCUUUCCCUGAGGAGGCAAUUUCCCAUCCAAUGGCUCCUCUAGCAAACGAGUUCUGGUUUCUUGUUUGUGAUGAGGCGGCUUCUCACCCUUUGGAGGCUCGUCGUUGCCCGGGUUUCCUUUGUGCUCUGGUGGUGGCUUCUCUCCUUUUCUUGGUGGCUCAUCUCUUGGGUGUCCUGGUUCAUGCUCAGGUGGUGGUUUCUCUCCUUUUCUCGGUGGCUCAUCUCCCGGGUGCUCAGGUGGUGGCUUCUCAUCCUUGUGAGGCUCAUCACCUGGUUUCUCCUUUGGUGGUGGCUUUUGUCCCUUAGGAGGCUCAUUGUUCUCUGGUGGAGGCUUUUUUCCCUUUGGAGGCUCAUUGUUCUCUGGUGGAGGCUUCUUUCCCUUUGGAGGCUGGUCAUUGCGCUCUGGUGGUGGCUUUUGUACCUGGGGAGGCUGGUCAUUGCGCUCUGGAGGUGGCUUUUCUCCCUUGGGAAAUUGGCCCUCCACCUCUAACAAAUGGUGUUCGUUGUGGGGUGGCUUGUCAACUGGUGGAGGCUUGUAAAUUGGGGGUACGGAAAUUGGAGGCUUGUAGAUUUGUGGCUUUGGGUCAUGGUUAUCAGCAAGAGAAGGAGUUGUGGUGGUGAAAGCCACCACUCCAAGAAGAAACACUAGCAAGUAUUUGGAAGACAUCUUUGGGCUCUUAGAAGCUUUGGGAUGAUUUGAAACUAGUAGAAGCCAGUGGCUUUUUAUAGUAAUAUGGGAACACUGUCGUCCUGACACGUGUCGUUUUGCAUCUGGAAUUUUUAAUGAAGUUAGUGGACUCAAUGGUGUUUUGUAUUGUUGGUACAAUUUAUAAAUGAAUUGGGGUCCAUUUGGGUCCUCAGGAGUUGAAAAGUUUGACAAUUUGCUAUGUUCAUACCUGGUGGGGACCUGAAUGAAAGCUUUGCACGACCGAGUGUUCACAACUCACAUGCACAAAUAUCAGUGACCUGGAGUACCUGGUGCACCUACUUCAAGCUCACUGGUUAUAGAUAGUGUUUUAACUUUUAAAAAGACUACGAAAAAUAGAAAAUCAUUUAUAAUAACUUAUUUUUGCAUGUGUGAGCAUAGCCAAUUUCUUUUUUUUCUUUUUUUGAAACAGAUGAUAAUAGGCACUAUACUAUAAGAAUGUAUAAAAAAUAACACUAAAAUAAUCAAUACUAUCUAAAACUUAAGUAUGAAAGAUAAGAAUAAAUACGUGAUUUUAAAAGAGACUCGCGCUUGAACAACUCAAAGAAAAACAACAACAACAAAAAAAGGAAAAAAAGAAGCAGAAGCAUGUUCAUACCAUGUUUACUGCAUAUAUAUAUAUAUAUAUAUCUAUCAAAAUGUUUACGUACUAUAUUGUAGACCGCUUUUGUAAUAUUACGAGAUGCUAUCAAAAGUAAGCAUGCAUGUAUAUAUCCUUAGUAUUUUAUGUUAUCCAACAUGUAGCACCGGAUGAAGGCAAGAAAACAUUAAAAGUCCGUUUGAUAAUUAUUUUAAUUUUAAUUUUAAUUUUUUAUUUUUUGUACUGGUAUAGAGAAAAAAAAGGGAGAAUAGAAGUGAGAUUGAGAUGGAAUAUGAGAACAGAGAAUGAGAGAGAGGAAUAACAAAAAUGAAAACAAAAACUAAAAACUGAAAUCUAUUUGAAAUUAUUUUCACUUUUGUUACUCGUCUCUCCCAUCUUCUCUCUCAAUCUCAUCCUAACUCUCAUUCUCACUUUCUCACUCUCAUUUUCCUCUAUACUCUAGCAAAAUUAACUAACUUUCGGCAAAAGCUAUUAUAUUGUUUUCAGCGUACACAACACAGAUUUUGUGUUCGUCAGUCCACAGCUUUUGCUUGAUUCUAGUGUCUACUGUGCUGAGUGGAAAGAUGAACGGCUAAUUUAGCUCAUUUCUUUUUGUUUUUUGUUUUAAUUAUAUAUCAAUACUACUAGCUAGCUAGCCCACAAUGGGAUUUCUCCUUUUCCCACUUGGGAUUUGUAUUUAAUUGCAACUUGUUAACACGAUCGAUCAUGUGAAUUGCUUUCAAUUAUAAUAAAAACUAAAGUGCCCUUCAAGUUUGGCCAAGAAAUACUUGUGCGUGCACGUGCAUAUGGUUGGCAUGGUGUGUUCACAACUCACAUGCACAAAUAUCAGUGACCUGGAGUACCUGGUGCAGCUACUUCAAGCUCACUGGUUAUAGAUAGUGUUUUAACUUUUAAAAAGCCUACGAAAAAUAUAAAAUCAUUUAUAAUAACUUAUUUUUGCAUGUGUGAGCAUAGCCAAUUUCUUUUUUUUUUUCUUUUUUUUUGAAACAGAUGAUAAUAGGCACUAUACUAUAAGAAGGUAUAAAAAAUAGCACUGGAAUAAUUAAUACUAUCUAAAAUUUAAGUCUGAGAGAUAAGAAUAAAUACGUUAUCUUAAAAAAGACUCGUGUUUGAACAACUCAAAGAAAAACAACAAAAAAGAAAAAGAAAAAAAAGAAGCGGAAGCAUGUUCAUACCAUGUUUACUAUAUAAAUAUAUAUAUAUAUAUAUAUAUAUAUUUAUCAAAAUGUUUACGUACUAUAUUGUAGACCGCUUUUGUAAUAUUACGACCACUGACGGACCCAGAAAUUUUUUAGCAGAGGUGCAAUAUUGACUAAGUAUGAAAAAUAAUUUUGGCGGCUUUUAUUCCUUACACAUCAAAUAAGAAAACUUGAUUUUAUGGGAUUUCAGUAUGAAGUAUAUAUUGACUUAAUGAGCUAUCAUUUUUAGCCUAAAUCGUAUUUUGCACUAUAACAAAAUUUUCAUAUUUUGAUUUGGUAGGAAUUUGAUUUUCUAGUAUUUUUAUUUGAAUCCAAAUGGGGGGUACUUCCUUAUUUAUAUUGUAAACUUAAGUAAAUGGAGUAAUAUAAAAAUAAAUAAAAGUAAAAAGACAAAGACAUUUACUUAAAUGUUGAAAUAGAAAUAAGGUAAUCUGUACACCAGUUGAGCAAAGGGACAAUUUGAAGCACCUACAAUAAUUUUUUCGGUUAGGGGAAAUGCAACACCUCCUUGCGCCUUACUAGGUCCGUCAGUGAUUACGAGAUGCUAUCAAAAGUAAGCAUGCAUGUAUAUAUCCUUGUUAUUUUAUGUUAUCCAACAUGUAGCACCGGAUGAAGGCAAGAAAACAUUAAGAGCCCGUUUGAUAAUCAUUUCAAUUUUAAUUUUUAGUUUUUAUUUUUAGUACUAGUAUAGAGAAAAAAGAGGAAGAAUGGAAGUGAGAUUGAGAUGGAAUAUGAGAAUAGAGGAUGAGAGAGAGGAGUAACAAAAGUGAAAACAAAAACUAAAAACUGAAAUCUAUUUGAAAUUAUUUUCACUUUUGUUACUCUUCUCUCCCAUCUUCUCUCUCAAUCUCAUCCUAACUCUCAUUCUCACUCUCAUUUUCAUUCUCAUUUUCCUCUAUACUCUAGCAAAAUUAACUAACUUUCAGCAAAAGCUAUUAUAUUGUUUUCAGUGUACACAACACAGAUUUUGUGUUCGUCAGUCCACAGCUUUUCCUUGAUUCUAGUGUCUACUGUGCUGAGUGGAAAGAUGAACGGCUAAUUUAGCUCAUUUCUUUUUGUUUUUUGUUUUAAUUAUAUAUUAAUACUACUAGCUAGCUAGCCCACAAUGGGAUUUCUCCUUUUCCCACUUGGGAUUUGUAUUUAAUUGCAACUUGUUAACACGAUCAAUCAUGUGAAUUGCUUGCAAUUAGAGAUGAUCAUUAUAAUAAAAAACUAAAGUGCCCUUCAAGUUUGGCCAAGAAAUACUUAUGCGUGCAUGUGCAUUUGGUCGGCUUGGUGAGAAGACUAUGUGAAGGCAUGAAAUAUUUGUAUACGAGUCAUCUGACUGCCUUCUCUUUUUUCCCUGAUAGCCACCAGGUGCGCCAAAAUUUUAUCACAUCACAUUACCAAUGCAUGGAUGCCGCGUUAUUUUGCAGAUAAUUUAUUAGUGGUCCCUUUCAUCGUUUGUUUACAUAGAGCAGUAAAGUCUUCAUUAUAGGAUAAGAUCCUUAAUUUGUUAAAGUCUCUGCCGACAUGUUAAUGUGUUAUCACUCAGUAAUUUUCAAACAUGUCGGCUCUAUUAUUGCCUCGGGACAAUGGCUCAGGAACCCUAGGGCGUAUAGAAUGGUUGCUUAACUUUAAGCAUAUCAUGUCAGUACGGUAUAGCUCAAUUAAUUUAGUUCUUCUACUCACAUUCAUGUGUGCAGAAUUUAAAAACCUAAAACACAUGCGGAUUUGUGUAUGGGCUAGAGUGGGCUCUAGCAUAGUACUAAAUUUAGAGAUGAAAAAAAUUAGUGUUAAUUGUAUAAAUAAAACCCAGGUGAAUAAAAAAUAGUCCACCCCUCUCCUCCUUUUUAAAAUUGUACCAAUCUAUAUUCAAUAGGUUCUUUAAUAUUAGUAAGAUUUCUCUUAAUUUUUAUUUAAUUUUCAAUUUCAAUUGUUAUUGUUAGCUUUUUAUGAUUUAGGGUUUAUGUGUUAAAUUUUGGGGUCUUUUUUCUUAUGCAAUUUGCUAGGAUUUUAUUGCUAACUCGUCCUUUUUUUUCUGAUUCAAUCUAUUCAUUACUUGAUCUAUGCUUUUAUAAUCUAGUUGUCUGUUGGUUUUGUUGAAUAUUUGUAGCUUGUGAUUGUGCAAUUGUAGAUCUAUAUGACUACACUCCCUACUACUUUUAUUACUUGAUCAAUUACAUUUGUUAGCCUUUAAUUAUCACGCUAUGUCACUUUAUUUAUUUUGAAAAAGAAAAAAGUAAUUGAGACCCCACUUGUGUAUUAUUUUCAAUGUACGAGGCCCAUAAUACUUUACCAAAAUGAUGCGAAAGAAGUUAUUUUCAGGCGUCGAGAAUGUACAUAACAAAGUUGCUUUAUGAGUAAAUGAACCCUAGGUUGGAUGACCUUAUAAUGUAACCACUACUAGUUCUGUUGUUGAAAAAACCAAACCAAUUCGGCUGAUAUCUCCAAUUGAUUGUACAAUUUGUCAAUGGGACACAUAGGCUUCCACAAGUCCCAGAAACUGACAAUGGACGUUCUUAACUUUUGAAAAACUUGUGAGCAGUGUAGGUGGGAAAGUCCUUCUGCAGUCAAUCAAUUCUUGAGAUUGAAAAGGAUCUAGCGAGCCCCAUAUGAUUUGUAAUCGUAUAGGAACAGAAAACAUCUCCACGGUCUAAAAUGAAUUUCUCAGUCCUCAAAAGUCGUAUAUGUUUGCUUUAGUUUUGACAUGUAGAUAAGAGUAGUGGAAACACAAAACCGUCCUUUGUCUUUUUGUGCCCAAUUUUUAUUGACCACAAAAGAAAUUAUGGAUAACCCAUUUUUGUCAUCAAGGACUAAAAGCUUCACUAAAACUAAAUAAUACAACCAAAACAACUAGUCUUCGAUGAUGUAAUGACGUGGUCUCGUUAAAAUCUUAUUUAAAAGAAAUGGUAUGAAUCCACAAACAAAGCUACAUUCAUUGAGCCCACAUUCUAAUUUUUAUUAAAAAUACCAAGAGGCUAUACAUAAUCCCAUUGAUUGAGACAGAACAUCUUGAAUUGUCGUUUACCACUGGAUCUUGCAAUUACGUCCCCAUACAUAAAAACGAACAGACUGGGCUGAACUGUAACGUAGUACUAUGCUGCAUAUACAUCGGUCCAAUAGGCAAUAGACACGUACAUCCAAAUUCUAUCAUAUUAUUAAUUGCCUUUAAACAUGUUUGCCACCACCAUGCAUGCAACAUUUACCAACAAAAGGUGGAUAUGCCAUCCGGUUAAUGCAGGAAAUUAGAUUGUCUUUAGUUUUGUACCUAUCUAAUUUGCAAUUACGUGUUGAUCUAAAACUCAGAUUGAUGCACCAUGCGUUGUAGAUAGAUCAGAUGUUAAUAGACCAUACGUGUUUAUCUUUUUUUCCCAGGGUCAUGAUGCUAGAUCUGUAUCCUAGAUUGUACGUCAAUCCCAUGGUCUUUUGCAAAUGGAGAAGCAAGACCACUGCGUAGAAAUUAAGAGAAGUUCUCAUCCUUGGUGCUUAUAAUAUUAUAAAGAAGUGUUAGGGUCAUCAAGAUUGUUGACAAGCUCAUAUGAUUUGUUAGUUUUUCAAUUUCACAUAUAACUUUCUAUAUGCAAAGGACUUCUAUCUCAAGUGGUAAGAGCAAUUAUCAUACACUUAAGGUCCUGUAUUCGAACUCCUCCCCUAAUAUUUUAGUUGCGACAAUAGAGAAAGUGAGAGUCGAACACACAACAACAAGUGAAAUGAUAAAUACUCUUAAUUACCUUAGUCACAAAUUUCACCUAAUAAUCCAACUUUUCAACUCGAUUGGUGGGCUACAAAUGGUCCGAUCACCCUAUAAUUUCUGUAUCUGUAACUUUCCCAAGAGAAUUUACAAACUUUGGUCUAUAUAGAAAUUAAGUGCACAAACACAAGUGUGCUGACAGUAUUGGCCUCCAGUCCUAUAAAAGGGCACACACUUACACCAAAUUUGUACCAUCCACAGUAUCAUUCACUAGCUAUACCUUAACAAUAAUGUCUCUCAAAUUCCUGCUGGUGGUGUCCCUGUGUGUGCUGGUUGUCACCACUUGUUCUCUUGCUGAUCAUGAUCACCAUAAACCACCACACAAUAGUUAUUAACCAAAACUGAUAUCUCACAUUGAAUUGUAUCACAAACUAGUUCAAUAACCAUGUAUAUAUUUUUUUGUUUUCUGGUUAUUGUAAUCUUAAAUUUCCAUCUUUGCUAUCGAAUCACGUUUGGCAUCAACAGAUUCAAUACUGGUUUAAGUGUGAGUCUAAAUAUUUAUAUAGUGGGAUAACUAGUGAAAAUGAGUUCACAAUAUCCAUCCUUAAAUACAAAGAAACUGAAGAUUUUACAUCUUCAGGAAUAUUCGUCAGCUUGUGUAGAAAAGCAUAUGCUAAAGAGUAGCUCAAAGUAGAGGUGUCAAAUAGAUUAGGCUAGCCUGAGCACAUCAUGAGUUCAGUUCAAUUAAAUAAAACGCAAUACACUAUGUUUUGUAUUUUUAGAUGGAUCAAAAUGACCCAAUUCAAUUCAAUUGGCCGAGUCGGCCAGAGACCCGUUGUGGGUCGUGCUGGCCUAAAGUCCAACGGGCCGGCCCAUUUAAAUUUGACAAUGGAAGCUACGAAUACGGGGUUCAACAGAAAAAAAAUUCCCCAAUCUUACUGCCUAUGAGCAGUGUGAGUUAAAUGAUCAUUACAUCACCAAUUAUGUCUUUGUCAUGGACUAACUGGUGGACAUUGUGACGGAUGUGGAAUUGUUUCCUGAGAGUGGAAUCCUUGAAUCUAAGCUACUAGAUUGCGAAAAAACAGCAAAAUUUAUUAACUCCUUGACUUCGACAUUAUUCAAUUCAGUAGAAAAUCUUAUUUCGCCAAUCUUUGCGACGAAUUGAAUAACUACUAUAAAGAGCGUUGGCACCAUUGGAAGUAGAGUGUCAAACAGGUCGGGCCGGCCCAAGCAAGGUAUGAAUUUGGGCUGACUGUGUACGGCUUGACACAACAUGACUAGUAUUUUUGGGUGGGCCAUGAUGAGGAAAUUUGGUCCAAUGGGUUAAGCCUACUCGAAGCCCAACGGGCCGGCCCAUUUAAAGCUCAUUUAUUAAAUUAUAUUUAUUUUAGAGAAAAUUAUUACAUAAUAUUAUUAUAUUUGUAUAUUAAAUUCAAGUAUGUUUCUUUUUUCUAAUAAUAUAUUUUAAAAUACAAUGUUUUUUCUUUAUAAAUAAAAUCAUUAUUUUUAUUUUUCAAUUUUUUAAACCGAACAAUAAUCUAGUUAUUUUCUAUUUUAAUGUACUUCAAAUAAGUCAUUCGCUUUUUUUUUUUUUCAACAAAUAAUAAAUCUUGUUAGUAUAUACAUAUUUAUAAAUAAAAUAUAAAUAAAAUUGACAAAAAAAUGCAAUUGACACCUCAAGCUCAAAUGUAACAGACAAAAGGAGAGUAUAAAUGGCUGAUCAACUUGGCGAAAUAGCUAGGGAUAGAAAGGGGAAAGGGCUAAACUUAAUUAGGUAGCAAAAUGAAACUUGGCAACGAUAACAAUAAUAGAAAAGGAAAAGGGGAAAGGAAGGAAGUAAAAAGUUAGAAAACACAAAGAAAAAGCUAACACUAAUAUAUUCAAAAAGUAUAUGGAAAAAGUAUAAUUAAAAAAAAAAAAGAAAAAAAAAAGGAACCCAAUAGUCAAGGUUCAUUUUCAAGGAAUGUGAAAAUGGUACUUGGGCGAAAGGGGUAAAUUUAAACUAUAACUAGAGUAUAGAAGGAUAGAAUAAAUACAAUGUUCUUGAACAAUAUAUGACUAGUCAGCAACUGGUCAUGGACUUGAGAUUAAUAUACACAAAAUCACACGUACAUACAACAAACAAUUAUCAAGUCCUUAUAGACCUAGAAGAAAACUAGGUGACAACCUAAGCACUUAGAAGCACUGGUGGACCCAGAAAUUUUUUAGCGGAGGUGCAAUAUUGACUAAGUAUGAAAAAUGGUUUUUUGGAAUAAUCAUUUUCUCAAGAUAAUUUUUGGCGGCUUUUAUUCCUUACACAUCAAAUAAGAAAACUUGAUUUUAUGGGAUUUUAGUAUGAAGUAUAUAUUUACUUAAUGAGCUAUCAUUUUUAGCCUAAAUCAUAUUUUGCACUAAAACCGAAUUUUCAUUUUUUGAUUUGGUGGGAAUUUGAUUUUCUAAUAUUUUUAUUUGAAUCCAAAUAGGGGGUACUUCCUUAUUUACAUUGUAAACUUAAGUAAAUGGAGUAAUAUAAAAAUAAAUAAAAGUAAAUGGACAAAGACAUUUACUUAAAUGUUGGAAAUAGAAAUAAAGUAAUCUGUACACCAGUUGAGCAAAGGAACAAUUUGAAGCACCUACAAUGAUUUUUCCGGUUAGGGGAGGUGCAGUCUACCAGUGCUUAGAAGGAUCCAUCCAUCAUCUAGGCGUUUUAUAUGCUUGGUGAUAUGUGUGUCAGCAUGCAUUAAAUCUGAAAUAGGAAUGAAUAACAAAAGAUGAUUAGGUAGCAAUAUGAAAUAGCUAGGGAUAAAAAGGGGAAAGGGCUAGGUAGCAAAAUGAAACUUGGCAACGAUAACAAUAAUAAAAAAGGAAAGAAGAGGGGGGGAGGGGGGUUGGUUUCAAAAGACAAAGAAAAAGCUAACACUAAUAUUCAAAAAGUAUAGGGAAAAAGGAAAAAAAAAACGAAAGGAACCAACUAGUCACAAAGAAGGUUCAUUUUCAAGGGAGGAAAAAGAUGUAGAAUGUAUUGCGUAUAUGCUUUUUUCGUUAACAAUAUUAGCCCCCCGAUGGUUAAAAAAAGAUUUCUGUUUUGUAAAGAGGUUCUCUUAAAAGAAAGCCGAUUGCCAUAUUAUACAUAAUUAAGAGGUAGAAUUUGAUUGUCGACAUGCUUAUAAUAUUAACUUUAUCCAUAAAACUUUACCAAAAGGUGGAUAUGCCAUCCGGUUAAUGCAGGAAAUUAGACUGUCUUUAGUUUUGUACCUAUCUAAUUUGCAAUUACGUGUUGAUGUAAAACUCAAAUUGAUGCACCAUACGUUGUAGAUAGACCAGACGUUAAUAGACCAUGUAUACGUGUUUAUCUUUUUUAUCAGGGUCAUGAUGCUAGAUCUGUAUCCUUGAUUGUUCGUCAAUCCCAUGGUCUUUUGCAAAUGGAGAAGCAAGACCACUGCGUAGAAAUUAAGAGAAGCUUCAUCCUUGGUGCUUAUAAUUAUAAAGAAGUGUUAGGGUCAUCAGGGAUUGUUGACAAGUUCAUAUGAUUUGUUAGUGUUUCAUUUUCAAAUAUAACUUUUUAUAUGUAAAGAACUUCUAUCUCAAGUGGUUAAGAGCAGUUACCCUAUAUUUAAGGUCCUGUAUUCGAACUCCUACCCUAAUAUUUUAGUUGCGACAAUAGAGAAAGUGAGAGUCGAACACACAACAAUAAGUGAAAGAAUGCUCUUAAUUACUUUAUUCACAAAUUUGUUACAAUUUCACCUAAUAAUCCAACUUUUCAACUCGAUUGGUGGGCUGCGAAUGGUCCUAUCACUCUAUAAUUUAUGUAUCUGUAACUUUCCCAAGAGAAUUUACAAACUUUGGUCUAUAUAGAAAUCAAGUGCACAAACACAAGUGUCCUGACAUUAUUGGCCUCCAGUCCUAUAAAAGGGCACACACUUACACCAAAUUUGUACCAUCCACAAUAUCACUCACUAGCUAUACCUUAACAAUAAUGUCUCCCAAAUUCCUGCUGGUGGUGUCCCUGGGUGUGCUGCUUCUCACCACCUGUUCUCUUGCUGAUCAUGAUCACCAUAAACCUCCACAUAAACCACCACACAAGCCACCUCCUUUGGAAGCAGAAAACUCCGUUGAAUUGGAUGGCAAGCCUCCUAAGGGUCCGAGACCACCCCCAAAGCACAGGCCGCCAACACCGCUUGAUAAUGAGGCAGCAGUGCCAUUGAAGGAUGUCGAAGCCUCGUACAAGCCUCCAGGGAAGAAACCACCACAUAACCCCUACAAGCCACCCUACAAACCUCCUCCAUCAAACUAAGUGCAUGCAUGCCUAGCUAACUAAUUAUAUGUAGCUAGCUAGGUUAUUAUACAUCGACGUGUAUAAAAAAUAAGAGCUGCAUCUGCAUGCAUGAUGAUGUAAUAUUACUCUGUUAUUAGCUUUAUUUUACUACUACUGCUACUAGCUUAAGUUAUUCAUGCUGGAGCCCGUUUGUUGUUGUUAUGCACUUGUAUUUACUUACCAGUCAUGAGCACUGGCGAGUAGAUACAAACUUUAUAUAUAAAAAAAUUAAAUAAAUUAUGAUUGAUCAUAAUUCUAGUCGUGUCGAAUUUACUACUGAAUAAUGAUCAUAAGAGCCAAAUCAGAAAAAAUAAAUUUAAAAGCAUGUUACAAAAAAGAGGGAAAAAAAGAAGAAACGAAUUGGAGUUUUGGUCAAGAAGAAAAAAAAAAAAAAAAACCCAGCACAACAAACUUACGUUUUGGUGAAGAAGGAAAAAAAACGCAGCAAUAGCUGCGCAACCCAAUUGAUUUCUUUGUUUUUAAAAUCUUUUUGUAAUCCUUGUUUAAAUAAGAAAGCAAAACAUGUUUAAAGACUUUUGAAAGCCAACGAAAUGCAGGGCUAAGCAUGUUGUUGAAAGCCCGUAAACUGCAGUUUGCCUCCUCUUAAGUUUUUUUUUUUUCUCUGACCCAAAACGACGUCAUUUUGGCCAGGACUUUUAAAAAAAAAUUAGGCGUGCAGGCAGCAACGCAACGCAACAAAUAGACUUUGGUUGAGUCAUUUUGUCGAACACCUGGAGUGCACCACCACGAGCCGAGUAGAGGUGUAAUUUGAAGUACCUACAAUGGUUUUUCCGGUAGGGGGGAGUACAACUGCACCUUAUUGCGACUUAAUAGGUUAGUCACUGGUCAUGAGCAUGAAACAUACUCAACUUCAUGUUUAGCUAGCUUUUUAAUAAAUGUACUUACUACGUACUCUUGUGUAAUUUAAAAGAUGUAUCAUUAUAAUAAAUUAUAUAUAUAAGGAGUUUCAAUUGAGAGAUUCUCUAAAUAACGUUAUUUGAAAGAUAUUCUCGACUUUCUUUGAGCAAUACUUUGACAUUUCCAUUUGGCUAAAAACAGAAUGGAGUUAAAGGAUAUUGUAUACUAUAAACAAAUUGACACUUCUGUACAAUACGAUUGCGUACUUUUUAUGUUUAGAACUGAAAUCGAAUAAUUCACAUUCUUUAAUUGGAUUGUAUAUAAGAGUAGGGUCAUGGCGUAACUCUUCACCCCAUCGGAGAAGAUUGAAUGUAUGUCCAGAACCGAAAUUGUAAGUAACCCAAAUCAAUUCAAUUUGGGUUAGGGUUGGGGUUGAACCCAAAUUCAGUCAUUCGUUUCUUUGUUUCUUGUAUUUAUUUUCUUUAUAAGCUUUCGUUGCUUUGUUGUUUAAGCCCAAUAUUUCACAGGCUUGGCCUUCUUUUCUUUAAGAAAUUUUUUCGAACUUUUCUGCUUGAAACUAAUGAAAAUUUUGAACUUGUUGCCAAAAGAAAAAAUAAUAAUAAACUCUGCGAUGAUUAUCUUUGUAUCUUUAACUUUUUUCUUUUCUUUUUGGAGAUAAACUUUCUUUGUGUCUAUGAUGUGAGACACAGACACAAAGAAAGUCGGAGUAACGCACUAGAUAUAUACAGUUUGUCGCUAGACCAAAUUCCUACACUUGUCUCGACCAAAAAAAAUUAAAUUCUACACUUGAAAAUUAUAUGUACUGGUUUUUAUCUUUUUCAGCUAUGCGUCCUAAGAUUGGUCAUUUGCUUAUUAGUGGUUAAUUAUUGCAACUUCCCAAGAACCUGUUCCCAGUGCAACUUCUGUUGAUAAUCCAGCUUAACAACUAAAUUGGUGGAUUCUAAAAUGGGAGAUGAAAUUGUAUGUCACAGGGAUAACACUGUUUUGUUAUUAUUAUCCAAUUACGUUCUGUCAUGUAAAAUUCUUAUUAUGUAUGAAAGGACGUGAUUGGUUGGGAAUAACAAAAUAAUUUUAUACCUGUGAUAUACAAGUUUUUCUCCUAAAAUGGGCUAAGCAAAACAACAAAACUAUUUCCUAAAUUUGUCCACCAAAUUUUGUGUCUAAUAUAUGUUAAAAUGUCUUAUUUGUUGGAAAUAAAUAAAAUUGAAAAUGAUUCUUUCGUCCCGAAAAAGACUUGUUUAAAUUACGAUAAAUGAAUAAAUGUAGCAAUAGCAGUUACUUCUGCACCCAGAAUCUUGUGUUCUUCCCUCCUGAAAUAUUGACUUGUAUAUAAGAAAGAAGAGUAAAUAUGAACGCCUAUAUUAAUUAUAUUACUAUAUCCAAAAUGGAAAAAGAUUGGCUCCUUCAAAUUGAAGAGGAGUUCCUCCUUACAAUCAAUUAAUGUGUUUUUGACACGGGUCAAAUUAUUUUAUUUUAUUUUAUUUCUUGAAACUUUGUUAAUAUUGCUCGAAUUUGACAAGUCUCAAAACUCCAUUGAUUUUAAGGAGAAGCUCCUCCUUAAUUUUGAAGGAGCCAUGCUGAUUCAAAAUUCUCUGAUGGGAAAUGAGUGUCGUGGGAGGUAAGUGAGUGCCGAAUUCACAACUCACAGGAAAAAACCCAUACAUCAACUGCCUUUAUAUGUGGUCUAGAGUUGUUACCUCUUAUAAAAAAGAAAGACCAAGACUUCUAGUUUUGCACCAUCUAGAACUCAAUGCUCCAACUAGCUAGCUGGCCAUACAAUGUGUCCUAAAUCCCUGCAAUUGAUGUUGCUGCUCCUUGGUCUGCUUCUUCUCACCACUUGUAUUGGUGCUGAUCACCAUAGACCACCACAGAAGCUACCAAUUUAUAAGCGUCCUCCUCCUUUGGAAGCAGCAAACUCCCUUGAACAAGAGUUGCUGCCAUUUGGUGGCAAACGUAAGAGACCAAUGUCACCGCCCCCGAAGCACAAGCCACCUCCGCCCCAAAAACACAAGCCGCCGCCACCACCUACACCAAAACUCAACCCACACCCACCCCCAACCUCAGCCCACACACCAGCCCCAAACUUACGCCACACACAAACCUUAACCCACCACACCCCAAGAGCACCGNNNNNNNNNNNNNNNNNNNNNNNNNNNNNNNNNNNNNNNNNNNNNNNNNNNNNNNNNNNNNNNNNNNNNNNNNNNNNNNNNNNNNNNNNNNNNNNNNNNNUCUCAACCCACCACCACCACCACCCAGAAAGCGCACGCCACCACCACCACCACCAGCAAGGAGACCACCCCCAAACCUCAUUCCGCCACCACCACCAGCCCCAAAACAGAGCCCCGGUACCACCGCCACCACUCCAAAACACAACCCGCCAGUUACCCCACACUUGAUGAAGCUGCACUAAAGGAUGCUGAAGACCCGUUUGUGCAAGCCACCGUUAGAAUCUACCUAGUCCAUUCACCUAAGUGCCCACCUCACCUCACUAAAUUAUUAUGAAGCUAGCUAGCAAGCUAUCUCAAUAUGUACGCAUAUGCAUCAAAAUAAGUGCUGCAUGCACGCGGGUGGGAUGUAAUAUAAUCAUUUUAUAAGCCUUUACUUUACUACUACUGGUACGUAUGGACUUGGAUUAACUAGUAUAUAUAGCAUGAAAACGCCGCUCACUUUCUUCUUACCAUACAAGCUAAGUACCCUUUGUAAAUCAAUUUGAAGUAUCGUUCGUUAGGGUUCUCCAAUAUGUGUUAAAUCGUUUAUUAAUUUGAUUUGCAAUCUUUAGAUCUUUCAUUCUAAACUCACUUGAUAAUUAUGUCCUAUGUAAUGUAGGGGUUUUUUCUUUUUUUCAAUUACUGAGUUUCAUCUCCCAUGUUCCACCACUAUUGCAACCACCACCCCAAAGAUGGUUUCCUACUACGAACAAAGACAUAUGACACUAUGAUUUAUGGUUUUUAUUUAAUAACAAUGAAUUUGUUUUUAGUUUACUCCUUGAUUUGUAUAAUUCAACACUUUCUUGAAAGAUCAUCUCUGUAAAAAAAUCACUUGAAUCCAAAAUCAUUUAAUCAGUCAAUUAAAAAUUUGAAAUUUUAGUACUUUCUUAAAGCACUAUAUUCAUUGAUUUUGUAGAACACAAUUAGAUAUCGAAACGAUUUUUGAUUUGUAUAAUUUUUUGCAAGGAUAAUGAUCUAUGAAUGUAUACUUAUAAAAUAUAUGAUUUGGAUCGUUGAAAAACAAUUUAUAAAAAGGAACUGAUAUAUAUAGUACAUAUAUACAUAUAUAUUUCUAUAAAAAAAAGCCUUAAUGUUAACAAGAUUAGAAUAAUAAUUUAGUAAGGAAAGAGUAAUAAACUUUUCUUAAAUAAUAUAUUUAUAAAAAAAUUCUACCAAGCGCAUACUUAUUGCUUUUUCCCUUUUCAAAUAUCAGCACCAAACACUUGUAUUUUUCGUUCUCGUGUCAAACUUCCAGACGCAUAAUUUUUCAUUUUCCAAAGCAGUUUUUUGAAAACCCCUUUUGUAAACUGGUAUGUAGGGAAGGAGGAUUUCCUCUCUUUUUUUAGCUGCAAUUGCAGCAAAAUUCUGCAUCACAUAUCUUUCUGGAUUCACACUACCGACUUUAGCCGUGUCAUUCAUUCUGUCAUGUUCCCAUUUUGGGUGUGUAGAACUGGAUUCCACAAAACAUCAUUGCACUUUGGAACACGACUCAGUUCCUUUUUUAGUGCUUUAAUUAGCCAUUUGUAGUUAUCUUUAAUUUUGUAUCUAUCAAUAUCAUUGCAAUUUGGCGUCACUGUGAGCCACAGAAAAAGUCAGACUAACGCACUUGACAUAAUUUGUCUACAUAUGCCAACGAACAAGGAAGAGUAACGCACUAAUUUUUUUUUAUCUUGUUUGCCUUUCUCUAUCCUAUGAUGAUUGGUCAUCGCGAUCCCUUGGUUUCUAGCAAAUGAAGAAGGAAGACUACUACAUAGAAAUUAAGGUAAAUGCUUAAUGUAAACUAUACCACAGAAAAGAUAUACACACCCAAGACACUAGGCAUACGUAUUUAGAUACAAAAUCUCUAUACCUUUGAUGCAACCAUGAGAAUAAGCAAAGUGGUUUAGAUCAUCUAUUCUCUACAAUUUUUUCCUUGAUAUCUCUUUGAAUGGUGCUAGACUAAUUGUGUAUAAUAAUAAGACCAACGGGGUCUAGUCCAGUGAAAAAUGGUUUUGACUUGUGAACCAGUGGUCUCAGGUUCAAACCUCCAUGACAUCUUGGUAGUGUGUGUAUGUGAGUAACCUCCCUCCCCCUUAUAUUAAAAAAAACCUAUGUAUAAUGAGACCAGGAACUUAAUUAUUUAAACUCUCCAAGACCUUGCUCCAAAAUUCGUAUACUUGGAUGAUUGAAUCUCAUCCUUUGGCAACCCAAAAAGAAAAACAGACUGACUAAAUACGUCCACAAUAUGAUAUGUCAAUAUAAGUAUUUUGUAUCUGUUAAAAAAAAAAUACGUAAAAAGAUUUCGAUUAAGUAACUAAUUUGUUGUUAAGACUUUAUCAAUAUACUUCAUAAUAUGAACAAAAUUAUCAACAAUGUGAAUCAUAUAUUGUAGAUUGGUAUUAGUAUCAACCAAUCAGUGUCUAUAGCGGAUUUGGCAUGUAAAUCAAGUGCGAUAUGAUCUAGUCCAAUAAAUGUGGCCUCAAGCAUAAACACCAUAUAUACUACUAGUUUGCACCAUCUAGGCUCACUCCCAACUAGCUAGCUAGCAAAAAAAAGGAUGCGUCCUAAAUCCCUGCAAUUAGUGUUGUUGCUAUUCCUGGGUGUGUUGCUUGUCAGCACUUCUUCUCUUGGUGUUGAUCACCACAGAUCAAUACACGAGCCACUUCCUUUGGAAGCAGCAAACUCCUUUGAACAAGUGUCUCUGCCAGUGCCAGGUGGCAAACAUCUCAUAGGACCAAAGAGAAAGCUUGCAAACCAAGAGUACAGGCGCCGACCACCCGGAUAUCCGGCUCCAGAACCAAGGCACAGGCCAUCACCACCACCUCCAGCCCCACCUCCCCUGCCAAUUCUCAAUCCCCCACCGCCCCCAAGACGCGGCCGGAGGCCACCACCCCCAAACCUCUACCCGCCACCUCCCCUGCCAAUUCUCAAUCCCCCACCGCCCCCAAGACGCGGCCGGAGGCCACCACCCCCAGAUCUCUACCCGCCACCUCCCCUGCCAAUUCUCAAUCCCCCACCACCCCCAAGACGCCGGAGGCCACCACCCCAAAUACCCAGCCCUGGCAGUGGUAGCUAAGCCGCCAAUUACCCCACCAUGAUGAUGAGUCUGCAUGCGGAACCAAAGGAUACCAAAGGCUCGCUGAAGCCACCCUCAAAAGCUUGUCCUUUCAACUAAGAGCCUUAGCUCACUUCACUAGUUAUAUGUAUAUAGCUGGCUAGGUUAAUAUUUGCAUGAUAAAAUAAGAGCUGCCCUUACUAUGCUCAUAUACUCCUUUGGAUAUUUGGGGCAGCUGGUUGCUCAUUCCCGUGUUUAAUUACGUUUGUAAGUUUGCUCAACUAAUAUUUAGUCAUGUACCACGUACUAUGUGUAACUUAAAACAUCUUUAUUAUACAUAAAGCAUGGACUAUAUCGAUCUAUAUGAGCUCAUGCUUGAUAAUUCUCGGAGCAGAACCUGUCAUUGCCAAUUAAGCUUAUAAAUAAGGAGAGGAUCUGGGUCCUUUGUUGAAAACCAAUUAAGUUGAGAUAUAUUCCAGUUGGCCUCGAAGAAAAGUGGUUCUGGUCUAUGAGCCAAAUAAUUUAGGGAAGUGAAAUAUGGACAAAAUGAUUGAUGUGAUGUAAUUCAAAUUUAAUAAUGAGAUAGAAAGAAUAAACGAAAGAUAUUGAAAAAUAUGCCUAAAUGAGAUGCAUUUCUAAAAGGAUUCUAAUUCAUUAAAAAGCAAGGAAGAUCAAGGAAAUAAAAUCAUAUCAUACUCCAAAAAACAUUCAUAUUAUGAGUGCAUGAAAGAUGAUAUAUCUGACCCAUGGAUCAAAUGCAUCAUACGUGUUAAGUCACAAUUAUGGAAUUCGGGGAUUACAGAGCUAUUUCAAUCCUGCAGUUUCUAGAAAUUGAACACACCAAUUCUGCUUCAACCAAACAACUAAAUGACAUUUCCAAACCUAUACUAAGUUCGAGGAAAUGCUAACAUAAAUAUCAUACCAACAAACUCUCAUGACAUCUUAGUGGCUAAUAGCUAACUAUCACAAUUAUUGAUGUCCAUUGCGUUAUUUGGCACUAAUAAUGCCUUUAACCACAUCAUCCUAUACAACUGUACACUAAUGUCAGUGAUUUGCUCAAAAUUGUUGUAACGUCCUAAAUUGCAAUCCACCAUUUCUAUUAAUUAUUUUUAAAAAAACAAAGUGAGAUAAGGGAAUCUAGUGCUUAUAGUCCAUCCUUACAUGAUUGCCAUAUUCUAGAUUUAAGCUCCAUAUGACCCCUAAAUAGCAAAUGUGCAAAAUGGCACUUCGAUGAGAAGGAAGAACAUCUAAGCAUGAAAAAAUAUAUAUUAUAUAUAUAUUAUAUAAUUAUAUAAUUAAAUAAGUGGGAGAGAGAAAGGAGGUGUGAUGAACUUACCGCCGUAUACGUGCGUGUGAAAUUGGUAUGCUGCCGCAGAAGUGCUCUUAACGACCCAGUUUCAAAGUGUUUUCUCAAAAUUGGUGGCCUUCUGCAUCAUCUUUCUGGUUUGUUUCCGCCGCACUCACAAACCCGCUUUACCCCUCUCGUUCAUUCCCUGAUCUCCACUUUCUUCUUUAAGGAAACAAAGAUUUCAAAGAAAUAUUCUUUGUUUUUUUACUUCUGCGUGCACCAUUCGUUGUUGAAAGAUUUCAUUUUCGUCUUGGGGGGAGGAUCAAGAAGGAACUUGGAGAUGGAACCUGGUGUUCUUGAUAGUAUAAUUAAUAAUGGGCUUAUUGAAGUUAGAGGGAGACCAGGCAAACAAGCCACCACACCGCCACCCCCAAAGCGCAAAACAUCAUUGCCCCUUGGAACACGACUAUAAUAUUCGAUCCCAGUUCCUUUUUUUAGUGCUUUAUUUAAGUGGGAAAUGGGGAAAUUCAUUUGAUAUCCCAUAAACAUAAUAAGGUCGAUGUCAUCGUGUCAUUCAAAUACUGCAGGAAAUGAGUGAAUUUCAGGACUAUUAGUCUAAUCCUAUUAAACUAAUUAGCCAGUUGUCGUCUUUAAUUUUGUACCUAUCAUUGCAAUUUGGCGUUGAUGUGAGCCACAGAAAAAGUCGGACUGACGCACUAUACAUAAUUGCGAGAAUAUGAAGAAAUGUCCCACAUCAGAAGGUUAAGAAGCAUAUAGCAAGGACUUAUGAGAGCACUUUCAUCUAUGGUGUCAUGAUAAAGGGCAACGGCAAGUGAAUAGUGACUGCCCUACCCUUUUUUAUUUUGUUUUUCCACCUAUUGUCAGGGUAAGUAAAGGCUAACACUAUUUAAAUGAGAUAUACGGAGAGGAAUUUGUAUGGAGUUUUGACGUGAGAAGUGAAGAACAUGGCUAGGAAUUUAUAAAUAAAUAAAAUUAUGAAUUUUUUGGUUUUUUUUUUAAUUUUUUAAUUUUUUUAAUUUUUUUGGGUAUUUAAAUUGGUCGAUGAUGUCAUGCUGAUAUUAGCAAUCCCAGUCAGCAGCCCAGGCGAAGUCUUAUCUUCUGGCUUGCCCAAGUUGAUGCAGCCCACUCCUUGCCCGGGCUAGCCUUCACAGCUAGAGUUAGUUUUUGGGGGCUAGGGGGCCUUCUGCCCUUGCUGGCUUGCACGGGUGGAAGUGCUCAAAAGAGUUGAGCUACAACUCCUAUUGUGUGAAGCUAUCCUAACAUCUACAUGUACUCCACAUCACCCAAUGUAUGUUGUCCAUGUGUUAAGCUUGAAAUGUAGCCAUAAAAUGCGAGGGUGUGUGAAAAUAUGAUAAUAACCACGACCAUAAUCAAAAUGGCUUAAAUUAUCUAUUUUCUACAAUAAUUGUUUCUUCAACAUCUUUGAAUGGCGCUAGACUAACGGUGUAUGAAGAGAGCAUAAAUUUGCCCGUUCGUUUAUGUUUUCAAGGCACCAUUUUCAUUUUAUGUUUCAAAUUUUCACCAAAUACGUCCUUGGCACCGCUAAAUUGAAAAACACAAGAUUUUUUUUUUGAAAAUGAAUUCAGCAACCAUGAACAAAUAUUGAAAACGAUAAAUCAAUUUAUCAUUUUCUGUGAAAACAAAAACGUGGCCUUCCUUCUUUCUUAGGGUCAGUUUGGCAUUGCUAUGUUGUGAAAGUAAUCGCUGUUAGAUUUGUUGUGAGAGAAAUUAACUAUGAGAGAAAGCAGUUUGGCGUUUGGUAAAUUUUUUGUUAAAAGUGUUGUUAGUACCGAUUCCCCCAUAAUAAAAAAAUGAUUCAUUUAUAAUCAUCAAACUCAGUGCCUCUUCCAAACUAAUUCAUGCAUAAUCAGAAAAUGAAAGCACCUUAUUAGUUGUUUUCCCUUAUAAAUUUCUCUCACAGCAAUUUUUAACAAUAAGUGAUUUUCUCAUAGUUUACCAAAAGGGCUAGGCUUUCCAAUUUUUUAAAAAAAUCACUUAUCACCUCAAAUAAGCAAUCACUAAUAAGGUGCUUUCGUUUUCUGUGAAAACAAAAACGUGGCUUUCCUUCUUUCUUAGGGCCAGUUUGGCAUUGCUGUGUUGUGAAAGUAAUCGCUGUUAGAUUUGUUGUGAGAGAAAUUAACUAUGAGAGAAAGCAGUUUGGCGUUUGGUAAAUUUUUUGUUAAAAGUGUUGUUAGUACUGAUUCCCCCAUAAUAAAAAAAUGAUUCAUUUAUAAUCAUCAAACUCAGUGCCUCUUCCAAACUAAUUCAUGCAUAAUCAGAAAAUGAAAGCACCUUAUUAGUUGUUUUCCCUUAUAAAUUUCUCUCACAGCAAUUUUUAACAAUAAGUGAUUUUCUCAUAGUUUACCAAAAGGGCUAGGCUUCCCAAUUUUUUUUAAAAAUCACUUAUCACCUCAAAUAAGCAAUCACUUGGCAUGUAGCCCGACCAUUCACACACAGCCCGACCAUUUUCCAAACCUCUAGUAGUUGUGAAUCCAUCUGUCAAGUUUUGGACUCCAAAGUCCCGGGCGCCAAUCUCCCAGCCAUACUCAAGUGCAGCCUGGUUGCUCAUAUCUUCGAAAGGUGUCCGGGUUGUGUGAACUUUCACCACGCCCAAACGCUCUCACAGUUGAUUUCUCUCACAACAAGUCUGACAAUGAUUAUUUUCACAGCACAGUAAUGUCAAACUGGCCCUUACUCUCAUUCAACCACUUAGCCUGUAGCUUUUGUUUUUCUUCUCACCUAUCUCAUCUCGUCUCUGGGAUAUUGGCCCUCAUUCUCCCCAUAACAACCCACUGCUCAUUUUUUUCAAUUUAAAAUUAUUGAAGGAAAGCCCACAACCACCAUGAAACGAGAUCGCCUACCUUCAUCCAUUAUUUUGGGUCUCUUUUUUUAUAUUAUCAUUUUCAUAUCUGCGCUUUAAUGGAGGCAAAAAAGCAAGCAAGGCAGCAUGUUUUUAUUUUUAUCCUUUAUGUAUGAGAGGAUAAAGAAGUAAUGACCUUAUGUGAAAGAUUUUCGUUUGUGCUUUGUUGUUAAGGAGAGGAAAGGAAGAUAAAGAUAUCACUUUGUCUUUCUCUUUUGCUUUUCUGUUUGUACUUUUUAAUACCCAAAAAUAGCCCAAUCAAUGGAAGGUUUUCGACAGUGUGGAGACACGAUGGAAUACGUAAUUGAAGUUUAUCUUAAUUUUCAUAUGUUUGUAGAAGACAAGUUUUCAUUAUUUUUGUUCUUAGAAAAUGUUUUCUAGUUAGUUUGUCAUACACAUUCUCGAAUUUUGAAAAUACAAAUUUGUUUUUUUGUUUUCAUUUUCUUAAAAUAUUUUAUGAUAAUAUUUUCCAAAAACGUAACUAGACAACUCACCAAAACCCUGCUCCGGAUGCAACUUCUCUUGAUAAUCCAAUUGUUCCAACUUAUCAACUCCAUCGUAAGUUUGGAUGACUGAAUCUCGUCCUUUGGUAGCCCAAAAAGAAAAAUAAACUGACUAAAUAUGUUCACAAAAUGACAUGUAUAAGUAUUUUGUAUGUUGGAAAAAAUACUAAAAAAUUUCGGUGAAGUACCUAAUUUGUUGUUAAUAUUUGAUCAAAUACACUUCAUAAUAUGAAAUAUCAACGAUGUGAAACGAAUAUUGUAGAUUGGUAUUAGUAUCAACCAAAAAUAACUGUCUUUAGUGGCCUCAAGUACAUCACGUAUACUACUUGUUUUGUACCAUCUAGGCUCACUUCUUCCAACUAGCUAUAGAUCUAGCAAAAUAUAAUGCUUCUUAAAUCCUUGCAAUUAGUAGUGCUGCUCUUCCUGGCUGUGUUGCUUGUAAGCACUUCUUCUCUUGGUGCUGAUCACCACAUAUCACCACACGAGCCACUUCCCUUGGAAGCAGCAAACUCCUUUGAACAAGAGUCUCUGCCAGUGCCAUUGGGUGGCAAACAUCUCAAGGGACCAAAGAGCAAGCCACUGUCAAACGAAGGGUACAGGCGGCGGCGACCACCCCGAUGCCCGAUUGACCCUCCAGAACCAAAGCUCAACCCACCACCUCCACCACCAAACCUCAUUAAUCCGCCACCACCCCAAGACCUCUACCCACCACCACCGAGAAAUCUUAACCCCCCACCUCCCCCAAGAUAACGCCCGUUGCCACCAGCCUGCCGAAUCCCAUACCCCCGUUGUUCGCCACCACCAUGGUGAUGAGCCUGCAUGCGGUAAUGGAUUCCAAAGGCUAAUUUAAGCCACGCUCCAAAGCUUGUCCUUUCGACUAAGAUCCUAGCUCACUAGCUAUGUGUACAGCUGGCUGAUAAAAUAAGAGCUGUUCUUAAGCAAUGCUCAUGCUCCUUUGGAUAUUUGGGCCAGCUGGUUGCUCAUUUCUCUGUUUAAUUAGGUUUGUAAGUUCGCUCUUUUCGAAUGAAUAGAAAAAGAAAAUUAUCAGAUUGGUAUAUUAGAUCAACCAGAAAUUAAAAAGUUGAGACAAUUGCUUGUUAAAUAAUUAUAAAUAAAAAAACAAUAUAAGCAGCAGUUACAUAUUGCCAGUAAGUAUCUCAUAAUCAUGUUUGUGCUACCCAACUUCCUCAGGCUGCACCACCAGCCUAUGCUAACGCUUGACGGACCUGUAGGCUGAAGGCCUUUUGAUUAGGUGUGCCAGAUUUUUUUGGUAAAACGUUAGCCCAGAUUGAGUUCAUGCUCUUCCUAUUCCUAAUAGCACUGCAUUAUCCAGCUCUAGUUCAACAAAAUUCCGCUAGAAGAAAAUUAAUAAUUUUUUUUUUUAACGGAUUGAUAGAACAAAGAAGAAGAAUUUGAAAGCAUUAAUUUGAUUACAAUCCUUUUCAAAAUCAUAUUCAUUUGAUAAAAAUAAUAAUAAGUUAACUAAAAUCGAACUUAUUUGGGGCGAGCAUGUACUCUUUGUGAUAUUUCACUUCUUCUUUUUUGGCUUAUUUAUUGAUAUGUUUCUAUGCUUUACCGAAAAUUUCAGUUUACCUCUUGACUUUUUAACUAAGUCAAUAUGCCCCUUUUGCUAUUAUUAUGUGUCUCACGUUGCCCUAUUCCGUCAACUUUCUCAAUAAAAAUGUUAUCUUUGUUGACCUAACAUGAACAUUUUAAUAAUUUUAGCUAUUAAAAUAAUUUUAAACAUAAAUUAAACACAAAAAACAGUUAUAAAUAUUUUAAAUUUCUUUUUAAAAUUCAAACAACUUUCAGUUUUAUGGAUUAGUUAAAAAUCAAUAAAUAAAAAUAAUAAAAAAACUUUAUCACAACUUAGUUAUAAAAUAAAUUAGUUAAAAUUCAAACACCCUCCCCUGCCCCAGCCACCUCAACCACUAUCCACCACCGUUCACCUCCAUCUCUCUCUCUCUCUCUCUCUCUCUCUCUCUCUCUCUCUCUCUCUCUCUCUCUCUCUCUCUCUCUCUCUCUCUCUCUCUCUCUUCACCAACAAAACCCAACACUCUCACCCCAAACCCCGACCAGGUCCAGACUUGAUAUUCUCCAACUUCAAGCAAUCAUUUGCUUCCAAAUGGUUGGGAUAUGGAUGGAAGAUGAUGAUGACGACGACGACGACAAGGGUGGAUGUGGCUUGUAGGGCCGUGGGGGUGGGAUUGGGUUGUAAAACUGCAAUUCAUCUCCCCAAUUUCAAAAAGACUUAUAUGUGAUGGAGAUAACACUAUUUUGCUAUUUUCAGUCAAUAACACAAUUAUAAGUAGAAAAGUUAUCUUAUGUGUUAUUACAUUAUUAGCCGAGAAUAGUAAAAAAUGAUAUUCCCGUUGCAUGAGAGUUUCACCUACUUCUUCCAUGUCUUGAAUUAGUAAGUUAAGGAAGGGAGAAAAGAGGGGCUAUGGAGGUGAAAGGUGGUUGCGGCAGGCACUGGCGGACCUAGAAAUUUUUUAAUGGAGGUGCAAUAUUGACUAAGUAUGAAAAAUGAUUUUUCGGAAUAAUCAUUUUCUCAAGAUAAUUUUUGGCGGCUUUUAUUCUUUACACAUCAAAUAAGAAAACUUGAUUUUAUGAGAUUUUAGUAUGAAGUAUAUAUUGACUUAAUGAGCCAUCAUUUUUAGCCUAAAUCAUAUUUUGCACUAAAACCGAUUUUUCAUAUUUUGAUUUGGUGGGAAUUUGAUUUUCUAGUAUUUUUAUUUGAAUCUAAAUGGGAGGUACUUCCUUAUUUACAUUAUAAACUUAAGUAAAUGGAGUAAUAUAUAUAAUAAAAAAUAAAGUAAAAGGACAGAGACAUUUACUUAAAUGUUGAAAAUGGAAAUAAGGUAAUCUGUACACCAGUUGAGUAAAGGGGCAAUUUGAAGCACCUACAAUGAUUUUUCCGACGAAAAAAGCUGCAGUUGCACCUUCUUGCGCCUUAAUGGAUCCGCCACUGACCGCAGGGUGAGGAGGGGUUGUUGGGUUUUAUUUUUUUCUAUUUUUUUGUGUGGAUGCUGGGUUUAAUCAUCGAGAAUAUCUUUUUAAUUUAGGUAAUUAUCAAAUUAAUAAUCAUUUCCUUAACAUUGGCCACAGAUUGGCCUGUAAAAAUCAGGCCCAAACACACUUUAGCCGUCUCAUUCAUCAAUUGGAAAUGGCAAGUGAACAUGAGAUUUCCACAUUUUAAUGGUUGAAGUGGAGGCACAAAAUUCAUCAUUGCACUGUGGAACACGACUAGAAUAUUCGAUCUCAGUUCUUUCUUUUUAAUGCUUUAUUUAAGUGAGAAAUCUGAAAUGAAAUUACUGAGACAUAUAGAUCUUCUUAUCCCAUUAAGGUCAAUGUCAUCGUGUCAUUCAAAUACUGCGGGAAACAUAAUUGUACUUAUCAUUGCGAGAUGGGAGUAGUGGCAGAUUCAGGAAAUUUCAUUCUAAGGGCCAACAUGGAAAAAGAUUAAAAAAUUCCAAUAUUAAAAAAUUUCAAUACAAAAUAGACCCAUCGAAAUGAAAUAAUAAUAUUCUAAUUCAUAGUUAAUAAAUAAAACCAUACAAAAUUCUCAUGUUCAUUAUCAAAGAGAAUUGCAUCGACUUCAAAAAAUAAACACAUGCGGCAAUAAACCAAAAAUAUCUCUAAGAAUGUGAUAAUAAACCAAAAAUUAGCACAAUCAUUUUCGCCUUCCAAGGCGUCUCGUCCUAUUCGACAUAAGAACUUGCAUAUAUUAGUGUAAUCCUGCUCACUUUAGGUCAUUUAGGUCAUUUUUGAGGUCCAUCGUCGUUUUGAUUUUGAGCUUAAUAUGCAUGUCUGUUGGGCUUUAGCUCUCAAACUUUGACCCUUAUGAGUAAUGUCUUUGGGGGAACUUAUUCAAGCAAAAAUUUCUUCAAUACGUAAGAGUUAGGUUAUUAUUAUAAAACUCUUUGUGAAUUAAACAUCUAAGGCUUUAGAUUGACCUUAGGUCCCUUCAUGCAUUCAUAUCAGACAUGAAAAAUUAUUUUAUAUAAAAAUAUUGGCUAAUUAUAAAAAAUAGUUUUACAGAAUAAUCAUUUUCUCAAGAUAAUUUUUGGCGGCUUUUAUUUCUUACACAUUAAAUAAGAAAACUUGAUUUUAUGGGAUUUUAGUAUGAAGUACAUAUUUAUUUAAUGAGCCAUCAAUUUUAGCAUUUUUCAUAUUUUGAUUUGGUGGGAAUUUGAUUUUCAUAGUAUUUUUAUUUCAAUCCAAAUGGGGGUAACUUCCUUAUUUACACUGUAAACUUAAGUAAGUGGAGUAAUAUAAAAAUAAAUGAAAGUAAAUGGAGUAUUUUAUCAAGCAGUUUGUGGGCAAUUUGCAGAGGUCAACAUCUUCGCCUCCAAUGGUGGAUUCCGGGCUUGCAGUGGUCAAUUGACCCAUCUUGCCCCUAUGUGGAUCCGCCCUUAUGAGCCACAAAAAAAGUCGGACUAACGCACUAAACAUAAUUGUGAGAAUGUGAAGAAAUGUUUUAUAUUGGAAAGUUAAGAAACAUAACAAGCCUGAUCGUUAGAGAAGGUGUACUAAUUAUCUUCAUUUUGAUGUUAGAUCGCUAUGUUAUUGUAUUGGCCCUUGAUGGCUAGAUUGUAUUAGUCAUUUAUGACUAGUUUCUAUUGACCCUUUAUAAUUAAUGAUUUUUUAAUUAAAUUACAAAUGCAAUCCCAUAAUUUUUAUAUAUAACUACAUGAGCUAGAUGGUAAGAAAUAGAAUCACCACUUAAUUUUUAUAUAUAACUACAUAAGCUACAUAAUUUUUAUAACUAAUGUCUUUAUUUCAUAUUAUUUAAAGGAUGAGUAUUAAUUCGCAUGUAUGAAAUGGGGCAAACUAUAACUAACUUGUGGUUUAGUAAUAGGUUAUUUAGAAUGUUGAAAUAAUUUUGAGCAAUAGUUACUGAUAUUAGUUGUAUACGAUGAAGUGGCUAAAAAACACUAUUAAUGACUGAUAGUUAACAUCCCACAAUUAUUGGUGCCCGUUGUUUUAUUAGAUACUAAUAAUAACGUCUUUAGCCAUCUCAUUAUGUUCAACUAAUGUUAGCGAGUAUUGCUCAAAAUUGUUGUAGAGUCCUAAGAGCAACUCCAGCGGCAAGCCCAGCCAAAGACUGGGGGGAGAAAAAAAAAACCCCCAAUUCCAGCGAGGAGCUCAAGCCCGGGUUGGGAGUGGGACCCACGAAGUCGGGCUGGCCCUCAGGCCAGUUCAGCCCGAGCUCAAGCUCGAGGGCUGGGCUGAUGUCAUUGCUAACGCCAGGCUGGCGUCAGCCCACUCAUUUUUUUUUCUGUUACCAUGUGGCGUCGUCUAGGCUCUCCGAUCGAAUUUUUUCCUCCAAUCCAACGGCAGUCAAUUUUUUUGCAAUAAAAUACUGAAAUUCGGAAAAUUUUUAAAAAAAUACCCCAAAAUUAAUGAAUUUUUUUCUAUAAAUACUAGUCAAUUUUUUUUUUUAAAAUUUAUCUGAAAUUUGAAAUUGAAAAUUUUAUCCGAUUAUGAGAUAUGAAUAGUAUUGACACGUAGGAACCCGAAAAUCUUAUCCUAAAAUAUUAUCCAAAUUAAUUAUUGAGGUAAAAAAAUUUGUGAAAAAAACAAAAAAAAUGAAUAGUAAUUGCCCUUUGCCAUGGCAACGGGUGGAAACACAAAAUACUAUUUGCAAGGGCAACCACUAUUCACAUGAAUAGUGGCUGCCCUAGCUCUCCCCUUGCCAUGGCUAAUGGCAAAUGGGUGGAGUUGCUCUAACAAGGCGGGUCCUGAAUCUUUCAGGGCACUGGGCAAAUGUAAAAAAUUAGGGCCUAUAUAUAUAAUUUGUUUUUUUUAAACUUAGUAAUGGACUCACUCUCAUUUUUCAACCAAGAUCUAACCUAUCUAAAUUAACUAAAAAUUUAACAUUCAAGACAAAUAAAUUAUAUCAAUCGAAACUUGAACAUGAUUUUUUUGUUCAGAUUCAUUGACUAAAUCAUUAUCAAUUCCUACAAAUUCUUCAACAUGAUUUUGCUGUUCAGAUUCAUUGACUAAAUCUUCAGUUGAGUUAUCAAGUGAACUAUUUGUUUUGUUAAGAAAUUUUUUAUCUAGAGCUCCAUUUGAGAUUGAGUUCAUUUUUCUCUCUUUUUUUUUUUUUCUCUCUCUCUCUUUUUCUUUUUCGUUUUUGACUUCUAGAUGGUUGUUUCUUAGGGAACAUUGUUACUUGGAAACAGAAAUAAUACAAGAAAAGCCAAUACAAUUUUAAUACUUCAAAGAAUAAACAAAGAACAACAUAACCUAGAAUUUGAGAAACCACUCCACAGCAACAAACUUGAUAAUUCAAAAUUUGCAAUCAAUUAGAGCUUAGAGGAAUUCAUGCAAAAAGAAUGUGUAACUCAUGAAUCUACAAACAAACAAACAAACAAACAAAAAUCAUAUUUUCCUUUUCAUUUGAUAUCAAAUCAAGAAAAAUUACCUUCAAUUGAUUUCUAUAAUGGCCAAUUUUGCACUAUACAAAAGGCCACACUUUGGAUCUUGGAAUAUCCCCAAAGUACCAACAAAAAAUUAUUUAGGGAUUUACAACUCUGGAACUAGUAAGAGAGGCUUAGAUGAGAUGAGAUGAGAAAAAGAAGAGGAAAAAGAAGAAUAAGAAGAAAAAUUUAGAAUAGAUAACAUUAACCUGGAGGUGUGGAACGGUUAGCACAAAAGAGUUCUUCUUGAGGAGCGGAAGAGAUGAACGCCAUUUUUUUUUCUCAAAAAUAUUAAAUCAAUUUAUAAUAAUAUAAUAUAGCACUUAUAAAUAAAUAAAAAUUUGGGCCCCCUUGAAUAAUGGGCCUAGGGAAGUCGCACUGACUACUCCUAUUCAGAGCCGGGCCUAAAUAUCUAUGCCUGAAAAAACAAGAAUAAUUAAAUAAAUGCUUAAUUGCUACAUUGUACCCUGAAACAUUAGUCAAAUCCUACUUUACCCUCUUAAAGUUAAAGUGACCCAUUUUGGUCCCUUGACUAGGGUUUCAUGUGUCACUUAACCACUUUUCAUCAACUUCAUCCCAAGCACCGUUGAAAUGAUGACGUGGUAGGGGUAUAUUGGUCAAUUCAUCUGAGUUGGCAUAUUUCCCACCAAUCUGAGUUGGUGGCGUGGGUUUGUGGACUUCACCUCGAACAAAAGUCGUUUUGACUGCUGAUGUGGCGGUGUGGACCCCACUUGGAACAAAAGAUCCCCAAGAGCUCACGUUAUUAAACCCCAAUUGAGCUUGCUGGUGCGGAUAAAAAAAACCCUCAAUUUCACUUCCUCCCCAUAGAAGACGAUAGAACUCUAGAAAUCAGAGGUUGGGUUUCCACGAAAAUUUAAGAUGAAGCCUGAAAUAAUUGAAGGAGGGGAAUAGCUGGAUGUGCAGCACAUUUGCUUUCGUGGGAAGAUAGCUCGCUUACAAAACCCACUUCAGGGGUAAGUUUUGUUGUUCAAAGUCUCUAAAUUUUGUUCUAAUUUUUCUUAAUUACUAUUAAUGGUUGAUGCAUAGGAGGAAAAAAGGAUGUGGUUUUUUUUGUUUGGGUGGAUGUUGAAUUUCUACCUAAAGAGAAAGCUCUGGUGGCUUGGCUACUUAGAAGAUUAAAGGAACUGGAAAAGGAUGUUAGGCGUCGUCAAUCAAGAGAAAGAUAGUUAAUGGGUUGCUUUCUUCUUUCAUGGUGUAGGGGUUUUUUCUUUCUAGCAGUUGAAAAUGGGCCUGAACUGUUGUAAAUAGCGAAUGAAUGAAGUUACCUCUGUGCUUGAGUUCAAGAAUCAGGCCCCAAGAGUGAUUCGAAAAGUUUGUGGAGCCUUAAGAAGCACUUUGGUUCCUUUCACCAUCGAGACAGACAACUAUUACAAAUCAAUAUUAUGGCUUGCCUUGAGAAGCUUAUGGCAUGAGAGCUAAGCUUCCAUAAGUUUAGCAAUAGAGAGAGAGAAAGCUUGGAUUUCUUAUAGGAACCAGGGUUCAGAGCAAGAGGAAAGGGAAAUUUGAGAAUAUUUUGAUGAGGGAAAAGAGGGAAAGAUGAGGAUAAAAGGAUGGGUGACUUAAGUAGAUCUUCCAGCAGCUUGAUGAUUGCUUCAUCGUGCUCUGGAUGGUUGUUUUGCUGGAUAUGAGGUGCCCCUUUUUAUAGGCACUAGAAGCCCCUUCUGGUUCAGGAACCCUAGCUAACUUUCCCCAAAUUUUGCCAAGUCUUCUCCUCAAUUUCCCUUUACUUCCUUUGAUUCAAUCCUUUUUGGUGAAAAUUCCUUAAUCCAAGCAUAUUAGGGCAGAGCAUUUUGGGGCUCCAUGGUUUUCCUGCAGCUGACUUCUUCCAUCAUGGGUGAGGCACCUCUUACUUUUCAUUCUGGUUUUUCUACCAAAGUUUGUAGAGGAAAGAAUGGGUAAGGGUGCUGGUCUAAAAGGUGUCUCAUUUCCAGUAGCCAUGCACAUGGAUUUCACUUGGUUUUAACGAUGGCUUAAUUUUGAUUUGGUUUUAAUAGGGUGCUGGGAUUUUUUCUAAGGUGCUAGGCUAUUUAUUCUCUCUUAUCCUUACCCAUAUAUUUGGGCUGAAGAAAUGGGCCUGAGUUUGGUGCUCCCAAACAGCCUAAAACUUCCAUUUCUUGGACCAUCAAUAAGCCUCAUGAACACUCGUAACCAUCCAUACCACAACCUACUCAAUAAGCCCCAGGCAUUUGCGUGGCUUGGACCUACUUAAGCUUGUAGCGUGGCUUGGUACUAAAAUAAAGGUUUUCUUCGCUUGACAUUGUGUGUCGUGUGGUGUGUUUGUGCUCAGGCUCUGCCUUAUUGUAACGGGCUAUGGACGGGACAUUGAGCGCGGGUUCAUGGAACCAUUACAUUUUACAGGCUCAUUGCAACCUCUUUGCGUGGCGGGUUGCUUAUUGGCUUGGUGUGGCAUGCAUACCAUAACUUGUGCAAGAGCAUAUGACAAAUUCUUCCAUAACCCCCGUCGGGUUUCUUUCUCGAUUGAGUGUUGUAUUGGGUUAGAAAUAUAUUUGGGCCCAGCCUUGGAUUUUUUGGGCCUCAACACACGAGGUUUAGUAAUUAUGUUGUUUUGGCAGUUUCUGCAAAAGUUGUGACAUAAUUAAGCCAUUAGAGGUUGGCGAUGGAUGAAAUAUGGUGAUUUUGGAAGUCUGUAUUUUGCAUGAGUAUAUCUUGUACGGUUCGGGGGGUAAUCGGCGUACUCCGAUCAGUGGGGGAGAAUCUUUGGCUCUAUCGGUGAUGAUGGAUGAAUUAGGGUGAUGUGGAUGUAUUUUGCAACUAUUUGUAACAAAUCAUGUAUUGGUACUUAUCUAUUGAACAAAAUGUGGGAGGCAGUUUUAUAAUUGGCAUUAUUCUAGUACUUAUGUAAUGAAUAUCAAAAGAAUUACCAAAACAAUAGUACCUCCAACACUUCUUAACAGUUACCAAAACAAUAAUUAUGAACAUAACAAUUCCUCACAAAUAUCAAAACACAAUUUAUAACAUUACUUUCAAUCUGGAAAACAUUGAUGAAAAUCAAUACUAGUACUUGAUAUAUGUUACGAGCUAUCUAACAAGGUUUGUCCUAAAUAGUUGGACUUGCAAUAUAUCAAUUUAAGCAUCAUCCAGCACUUGCACAUCAUCAAAAUAUAAUACAUGAAAAGCUCGUCUAAAGAGUCAAUUCAGCCAAAUCACAAGACGUGCACAUCAUCAAAUUAACAGUUUAAUAAGAGGCAUUUUAACAAAACACGCAACACUUGCACAUCAUCAAAAUCUCCAAGGCUGAUAACUAUCUAACAACUCCUUCUUAUUGGUAAAUUUAUUCCUUUUGGCAGGAGAUUUGAACAUUUUUUUUUUGUACCAGUGCCAAAAGGCUGUAAUGAGCUUGCAGUUGGUUGAGAUCCAUGCAUACUUUGAGAACUUGGACAAGCUUGCACAGAUUGACUCCCUUGCACAUAUUGACUUCCAAUGGAAGUUUGAGAUCCUUGCACAGUUUGAGAAGCAUCCUUCUUAUUGGUAAAUUUAUUCCUCUUUGCAGGAGACUUGAAUUUUUUUUUUUUUUGUUUUGUACUAGUGCCAAUAAGUUGUGACAAGCUUGCAAUUGGUUGAGAUUCAUGCACAGUUUGAGAAGCUUGGACAGUUUGAGAAAAAUGGGCAGUUUGAGAAGCUUGGGCAGCUUGAGAACAUUGGCCAGUUUGAGAACAUUGGCUAGUUUCCAACCUUCUUUCGACCUAAAAAUUGAAGCACAAUGCAAUUUAUAUCAACUACAUAAAAUAUCUAUUCCUCUAAACACUGUUUACAGGUUACUUGUCUCUUGAUUGUCUUCUAACCCUCUUGGUUGAUGUGGUGACAAUUAUUUUCUUCACCCUUGGUUUAGAUGGGACCUGACAUAAGAAGAGAAUAACAUAAAAUAAAUAUUAAAGAUCCAAAACAAUUAUAAUUACAAUGUAAGAGAAUAGCCAAAUCUGACUGAAACUGUCUUUCUUUGCCUUAGGGUAGCUCCUCCUAUUAUGGCCUCCAUAUCUACAAACUGAACACUCAGCGGUUUCCAAGUUCUACCUUUGUAGCUUGGUGGCUUUCGGAUUAAAGGUUUGUGGUGGUUCACCUACUAAUCUCAUCCUCUUUUUCCUUGGUCUCCUAGGUUUCUUGUGAUACAGUGGUGGCAGCAAAAGAGGCCUAUGACACUAAAGCCACAAGUCUUCGCUUGUCAUUAGGUGCACCAUUGGACUAUAAACUCUCAUAAAUGCUUCCUUCUUGUAACAAUCAUCAACAUAAGCAAUAUGAUCCCCACUUAAUUGUCAAAUGGCAACAUAAGCAUGCUUGCAUGAGAUCCUAAUGAUAUCCCAUCUCCUAUAUGAACAAAUGUUCCUUGCCAAAUCAACCUCAUCCUAACUUCCAUCAUGGUUUUUCACUUCAUAUAAUUCUGCCCAACAAGCUUUGGAAUACACCAACUUGCUUCUCUCUUCAUCUUCUCAAAAAUGCUAAAAAUCCUUGGACCUAUGUCAUGUUUCCAUCUCUCAGAAGAUGCUCUUCUAGUUUCCACCAUCAACAUAAUAUAGUAUCUAAUCCUCUCAAGCAUGGUUAAAAUGGGUUUGUCUCUGGUUUUUAGAAGGGCACCAUUUAAAGUCUCACACGUAUUAUUCAAAAGGAUGUCACACUUAGAAUGAGUUUUAAAGUGAGCUCUACACCAUUGUGAUAGAUCUAAGGCCACCACCCAAUCAAAUGCAGCUUAGCUCAACUUUCUCAUUUUUUUUAAUCUCAGCAUCCCACCAUGGGAUGGUUGUGCUCCUUGCAAUUUUUUCCAUUUGCAAUUUCAACACCAAUCCUCUAUGACCAGCAAGCAUAAAAUUUGCUUCUAAGUGUUUAGGCAGUGUAUGUGCUCAACAUUUGGAAAAUGAUCAUCUACUACAUCAAUCAAACCUUUUUGCCUGUCUGUGAUAAAGACAUAGGAGUUGCUGUUUUUCAUUCCAAGGUCUUCUGCCAACAAUUGACAAAACGAAGACCAUGUUUCAUAAUUCUCCACCUCAACCACUGCAUAUGCAAUAUGAUACAUGUCGUCGUUGGGAUUCAUAGCAACAACAAAUAGUAAUUGUCCAGGGUGAUGACCUUUGAUGUGACAAGCAUCAAAUCCUAUCACUAGCCUACAUCCUUGCAAAAAAUUGUGUUUAACUACAACCAAGAAAAUGUAAAUCCUCUAAAACCUUGGUCUUUCACCUUCCAGCUCACAUUUGAUAAUUACUGUGCUCCCCACAUUUGUCCUUCUUAGUUCAGCAACAUAAUCCCACAAUAACUCAUACUGUUUUUGAUAAGUCCCCUCACUUAUGGCUGUUGCCUUGUGCCUUGCCAUAUAAAUAUGGGAUUUGGAAGCUAUCACACUGAGAUCUUCUUGUACCUGUUGUUUAAAAGAUCCCAUAUCCCAAUUAUGAAUUCUAGAUAGUUGAGUAGCAUAUCUCUGAGCUAACCAUGUUGAGUUAGCAUGAAAGUUUUGCUCAACUGUCCCACAAUCAUGCUCAUCAACAAACUUCUUCACUUGAACUCAUUCAUUGUUGAAGCAAAACAAACCCAUCAAGAAUUCCCUUCACACACUGCCCUUACCUUAUUACGAUAAUUUCAUUUGAAUUUAAUUAACCUCCUGUUUAUAAUUGAAUAGUUUCUAAUUGCUUUCCUAAAUAGGCCAGUGGUUGCAAAUCUUAAACCCACAUCAGCAGUCAAAACGACUUUUGUUCGAGGUGGAGUCCACAAAUCCAUGUCACCAACUCAGAUUGGUGAGAAAUAUGCAAGCUGAGAUGGAUUGACCAAUAUACCCAUGCCACGUCAACAUUUUAAUGGAGUUUGGGAUGAAGUUGACGAAAAGUGGUUAAGUGACACAUAAAACCCUGGUCAAGGGGGCAAAGUGGGUUACUUUAACUUUAAAGGGGUAGAGUGAGAUUUGACUAAUAUUUUAGGUGCUCACCACUUUAACUCAAGGUGUACCCUCACUACUAUUUUAAAAGAGUGUUGCUAUUUCCACCAACUUGUCUUAUUUUUCCACCUACCUUAUUUUCAAAAUUUUAAAGAUAAAUUUACUUCUUUAUAAAAUGACUUAUAAGGACUUAGGGAAAAAAAAAAAACAUUAAAACCAAUUUAAAAAAAAUGAGAAAAGGAGAAUAAAAAAAAAUAAAAAGAUUAACCCCACCUCACCCCAUCAUCUUUCGCUUCGCCUCCACCAACGCACCCCUCAUUCUUCUCUAUUGUCCCUCUUUGUUUCUUUAACAGUCACCACCCCACAAUCAAAAGAUCCCAAGCAGAUCCCCCCCCUAAAUUUUCAGUAUUAAUAAUAUGAAAGGACCUUUAACUGAGAUUUGAAUCAGCCAACAAUUCUAGGCUCUCAAAGUAUGCACCUCACAAUAGAGAGAGAGAGAGAGAGAGAGAGAGAGAGAGAGAGAGAGAGAGAGAGAGAGAGCAACAUCUGGGUUGAGUUCUGUGACUAGGGUGCUGGGCUGUGGGAGGUGAAUUUGAUGGUUGGGGUGUGUUGAAAUUGGUGGGGAGGGGAUCGGGUAAAACAGAGAGAAAGUGUCUGUCUUUUUAGUAUUUUAUAUUGUUUAUUAAUUAAUUAAUUAAUAAUAUAUUAUUAUUUAUUUGGUGGGUGGGAAGAUAAUGCGUAUUUUAGGAAUAAUGGUGGGUGGAAAGAUAAAAUUGUGUUUUUUAAAAAUUAUAUAGUGGUAGGAAAAUAAGAUGGGUGGGGAAAUAAGACAUGGGAGUGGAAAUAGCAGCACUCUUUUAAGGCUUGUUUGGUACACAAGACUGUCUUGGCAUGAACUAUGCUUAGGGACUGGCUUGGCUUGGCUUGGCUUGGUCUAAGUUGGAUAACACUUAUCCUGCGUUUGGUGUAUGCUUGGACUAGGACUAGAAUUUUUUUUAUUUUUUCAAAAAUAUCUAUAUAUAUGCAUAUAUGUAUUUUAUAAUAUAUAUGUAUAUAUACAUACAUAUAAUAUAUAUAUAUGUGUGUAUAUACAUGUAUAUAAGUAUAUUAUAAUAAUAUUAUAUAUUUUAAAUAAUAUAAACGUACAUACAUAUAUAUAAGUUAUAUAGGUGUAUAUAUAUAUGUAUAUUAUAAUAUACAUGGGUAUAAUACAUAUACAUAUAUUUAUAUAUAUGUAUGUAUAUUAUAAUAUAUAAUAUAUAUGGGUAUGUUAUAAUAAUAAUAAUAAUAAUAAUAUACAUGUAUAUACGUGUAUAUAUGUAUAUUAUAUAUGUAUGUAUAUAUACAUAUACAUUAUAUAUUAUAAAAUACAUAUGUAUAUAUAAUAUAUGUAUAAUAUAUGUAUAUAUAUUAUAUAUUAUAAUAUACAUAUAUAUAUGUAUAUACAUGUAUAUAAUAUAUGUGUAUAUAGGUGUAUCUAUAUAUUAUAAUAUAUACAUGGGUAUAAUACAUAUAGAUAUAUAUAUAUAUAUGUAUAUGUAUAUUAUAAUAGAUAAUAUAUAUGGGUAUGUUAUAAUAAUAAUAUACAUAUAUAUACGUGUAUAUAUGUAUAUUAUAAUAUAUAUAUAUACAUAUAGUAUAAAUAUAUAAUUUAUAUGUGUAUAUACGUGUGUAUAUGUAUAGUAUAAUACAUACAUGGGUAUAAUAUAUAUACACAUAUAUGUAUAUAUAUAUUACAUAUAUACAUGUAUGCUAUUAUUAUAAUAUUAAUAUGUAUGUGUAUAUGGGUAUAUUAUAAUAAUAAUAUACGUGUAUAUAUCUAUAUGUAUUUAUAUAUUAUAUAUGUAUAUAUGUAUAUAUGUGUUUAUAUAUAUAUGUAUAUACGUGUAUAUAUGUACAUUAAUAUAUAAUAUAAUAUAUAUUACGUAUAUACAUGUAUACAUAUAUGCUAUUAUUAUAAUAUUAAUAUGUAUGUGUAUAUGAGUAUAUUAUAAUAAUAAUAUAUGUGUAUAUAUCUAUAUGUAUUUAUACAUAGAGCUUCCAUUGAGGGAUCCCUCAAAUAAGUUAUUUGAGGGACACCCCUUGUAAGCCCCACUCCGGAUUGUAUUUCACUAAUCCAAAUCGUCUAUUUUGUAGAUACUCAUUCAAAAAUCAUCUCUACAAAAAACACUUGAAUCCAAUAUCAUUUGACCACUCAAUUAAGUUAUUGAAAUUUUAGCAUUUUCUUGAAGCACCGUGUUCAUUGAUUUUGUAGGACACAAUUGGAUGUCGAAACGGUUUCCGAUUUGUCUAAUUUUUUGUAAGGAUGAUUUAUGAAUGAAGACCUAAAAAAUAGAUGGUUUGGAUCAUUGGGAAAAAAAUUGUAGAAUACCAUAAAGGGCGUCUCUCAAAUAAAAUUAUUUGAGGGAUCCCUCAAUAGAAGGGGACUGUGUAUUUAUAUAUAUAUAUUAUGUAUGUAUAUAUGUGUUUAUAUAUAUAUAUACACAUGUACAGAGAGCUUCCAUUGAGGGAUCCCUCAAAUAAGCUUAUUUGAGGGACACCUCUUGUAGGCCCCACUCCGGAUUGUAUUUCACUAAUCCAAACAGUCUAUUUUGUAGAUACUCAUUCAAAGAUCAUCUCUACAAAAAAUCACUUGAAUCCGAUAUCAUGUGACCACUCAAUUGAGUUAUUGAAAUUUUAGUACUUUUCUUAAAGCACCGUGUUCAUUGAUUUUGUAAGACACAAUUGG
rnacentral:lncRNA from 1 species